UGGGGAAUAUUGCACAAUGGGGGAAACCCUGAUGCAGCGACGCCGCGUGAGCGAUGAAGUAUUUCGGUAUGUAAAGCUCUAUCAGCAGGGAAGAAAAUGACGGUACCUGACUAAGAAGCCCCGGCUAACUACGUGCCAGCAGCCGCGGUAAUACGUAGGGGGCAAGCGUUAUCCGGAUUUACUGGGUGUAAAGGGAGCGUAGACGGCGGUGCAAGCCAGAUGUGAAAGCCCGGGGCUCAACCCCGGGACUGCAUUUGGAACUGUAUAGCUGGAGUGUCGGAGAGGCAGGCGGAAUUCCUAGUGUAGCGGUGAAAUGCGUAGAUAUUAGGAGGAACACCAGUGGCGAAGGCGGCCUGCUGGACGAUGACUGACGUUGAGGCUCGAAAGCGUGGGGAGCAAACAGGAUUAGAUACCC
rnacentral:rRNA from 1 species